rnacentral:rRNA from 1 species
CGCCCGUCGCUCCUACCGAUUGGGUGUGCUGGUGAAGCGUUCGGAUUGGCGGCCUCCGGCGGUUCGCCGCUGGGAGCAGCCGAGAAGUUCGUUAGACCCUCCCACCUAGAGGAAGGAGAAGUCGUAACAAGGUUUCC